GAUGAACGCUGGCGGCGUGCCUAAUACAUGCAAGUCGAGCGAACAGACGAGGAGCUUGCUCCUUCGACGUUAGCGGCGGACGGGUGAGUAACACGUAGGUAACCUACCUAUAAGACUGGGAUAACUUCGGGAAACCGGAGCUAAUACCGGAUAAUAUUUCGAACCGCAUGGUUCGAUAGUGAAAGAUGGCUUUGCUAUCACUUAUAGAUGGACCUGCGCCGUAUUAGCUAGUUGGUAAGGUAACGGCUUACCAAGGCAACGAUACGUAGCCGACCUGAGAGGGUGAUCGGCCACACUGGAACUGAGACACGGUCCAGACUCCUACGGGAGGCAGCAGUAGGGAAUCUUCCGCAAUGGGCGAAAGCCUGACGGAGCAACGCCGCGUGAGUGAUGAAGGUCUUCGGAUCGUAAAACUCUGUUAUUAGGGAAGAACAAACGUGUAAGUAACUGUGCACGUCUUGACGGUACCUAAUCAGAAAACCACGGCUAACUACGUG
rnacentral:rRNA from 1 species